CAAUAGCGUAUAUUUAAGUUGUUGCAGUUAAAAAGCUCGUAGUUGGAUUUCGGUUGAGAACGGCCGGUCCGCCGUUUGGUGUGCACUGGCUGGUUUCAACUUCCUGUAGAGGACGCGCUCUGGCUUCACGGCUGGACGCGGAGUCUACGUGGUUACUUUGAAAAAAUUAGAGUGUUCAAAGCGGGCUUACGCUUGAAUAUUUCAGCGUGGAAUAACACUAUAGGACUCCUGUCCUAUUUCGUUGGUCUCGGGACGGGAGUAAUGAUUAAGAGGAACAGUUGGGGGCAUUCGUAUUUCAUUGUCAGAGGUGAAAUUCUUGGAUUUAUGAAAGACGAACUUCUGCGAAAGCAUUUGCCAAGGAUGUUUUCAUUAA
rnacentral:rRNA from 1 species